ACCAAAUUCACAGGACAAAGGCAAAGCUGCCCAUCCUGCCAGGAAGCAAAGCCUACAACUCUUCUUGCUGACACCUAUAAUUAGGCUGGGCUCUUGUCUCAGGAUGAUGAGUGCUGAUGGGAAAGAGGAGAAAGAUCCUGCCAGGGGUAUCGUGUGGAGCUGAGCCAGAGCAGACCCAGGCCAUGAGCAGCAAUUGCCAACAGAUGUUUGCCUGGUCUUAAAUUACGUUGUCUGCAUGCCUGGAAAAAGAUAGUGUCUUAUAAAUAACUGUGCUUUGAUGCUCUGUGGCCUUGCAUAUUCAGGUCCCACCGUUAGGCACGUAUGUGUUAGUCAGAACUAGCUGGAAAUGGACUGGGGGUGGAAUUUCUUUUGUCAUGUCCAGAAGUGGGGUGCUGUCAGCUCUUCCUGGGAAGUUAUGGGGGAUCGUGGAAGAAUGACUCAUCCAUUCUGUUCUGCAUGAGGAAGCCUGGGAAAGCACCAUGCUUCUGGAGGAAAAGGCGUGCAAUUCAGCAGCUUAAUACUCCCAGCACGACGUCCUCCCCAUGUGCCACUGAAGAAUGGGCACUGAGGAUUUAUAGUAACAUGCUGCAGUGCCCUGAGAUGAAGCAUGUAACUGGCACCUGCCUUAGGAUGAGUGAGGGUUUCUCUCCUCUGCCUUGGAAUAACAGCCUUGGGAUUACAGCUUGGGUUGCCCUGCUCUGUACUCAGGAUGCAUCAGGAGAAGAUACUUCAGUGCCUUCCUUUGCAGGCAAUGCCAGGGGAAGGCAUCUUGGUGCCCAGCAGUGCAAGGAGCUCUGUGGUAGCAGGACUCUGGGAUCCCUGGGGUAAGACAACGAUAUCCCCCAUGUACCACCUCCAGGGUGAGAACAUGAGCAGCAGAGAGGCCAACUGAGAUGUUGGGAACAAGCACAUGCCACUGUGGUUAAUGGCUUAUUGAUGGGCUUACAGCUUUUCCUUCCAUCAUUACCAUGCAAGGUCUGGGUUUAGAUUUUUACUAAUUUGUUUGUUCCUAGCUGUUCAAUAGAUCUUUUCAGCAAACAUGCUUCAAUCUUUGGGUUAUUCACAAACACGCUUGCUAAAUGUAUUACUGUCCACUUAAUGAAUUCCAGUUGUUCAUUAGCACACCUAUCAUGUGGUAUUACUUCUGCUUUCUGAAUGGAUGUGAUAAAAUAGAUGCAUUAAAUAAAAAGUAAAUUAAAAAAAAAAAAGGCAGGUGGGGAAAAAUGAAGUUUCAGUGAUGUUUUCAGGAGGAAGGUGUGAAAAACAGGUGGACUCUAUGCUGAGGAAGUCAGUGGUUUCCUGUGGAAAGGCAGAGCAGCGGACACUGAUGAAGCAGCAGCAAAGCAUGGACCGAAACCAUAACCCUGCACUGGGAUGAGUCAGAAAGAGGAGAAAGGCUGCACUGCAGCAUCCCUAAUGAAGGCUCUAGCUGCUCUGCACAGCCUGUUUUGACCCACACUGUCAUCCUCCCUGUGUAAACCUUAGUUGCAGCGUAAGCUUGUAUCUCCAGCAGAGUGGAACUGAAUGCACACCUCCUAUUUCCCCAAGGAGCUUUUAGGAUCUCCAAGUGAUCUCCCACCUGCACCCAAGAGAUUGAAUUCAUCCUGAAAAGCAUAAGCCCCGCGUUGCCUCCUUUUCCAGACGUCAGGCUGGCUGCUUGGAUAGCUCACUCCCAUUCUGUCCCUUGGAAAAUGAUCAAGAUGGGAUAUUUGGACACAGAUUCUUCAUGCCAUGUCUCUUGGCAAAUUACAUUUUGCAGUCAAGGUCUAUUAAUUACAUACCUAGUUUUAAUAAGCGCACUCAAGUGCUGCUAUAAGGUUCCUUGCAGAUAUGGGAUCCAUCCCAACCCCAUGGAGCCACCGUACCCCAGCAGGUGACAGAGCUGGGACCGCAGGCUGGGGAACACUGAGCAUUCUGGCAUUCUUGCAUGAGUGUGUUUGGGAAGUAUUUUCAGUUCCGCAGAGCACCUUGUAAUUGAAUCAGAUAAAUACAUGGAAGGCACCGUGAUUUUUCAGGUGCCGCUGAGCGCUGGCUGUAUGAUUACAGCAAAUCUUUCAGCUCCUCUGAGCUGGCUGACAGUGACUUAUUUUGGUAUUUGUACAAGCUGCUGUUUAUGAUGGAGGAGUUCACAGGGUAAUAAACAGGAUAAAAAGCCAGGCUGAAGAAUCUGAUUACUGUAAAACCCAUUUAUUUCAAGUACACCAGUUAUUUCUAUUACGGGACGUUUUAGAAAUAAUUCUGCAUCUUGAAGUAGUUUAAAGAAGAUUAAUUUUCAAAGGGAAAAACCUUUCUCAGGUCCAUUUUAUCUGCUUCUCGGACAAAGCGUGAAAUUAGGAGCUUAUCUACAAUCACUAAAAUCGAAGGUAGGUCUUUCCCUUGACUUUAGUGGCUUAUAAAUCAAACUGGAUGUGAAUAGCUGAGCAGUGCCAUUGUGAUGACUGAUACGUGGAGUGACGGGCUGGAGACACGUGCUACCAAUAAGCAUGGAGGUGUCACCUGUCAAGUGACAGCUUCACUGGGCUCAGUGGCAGAGAGCCCACCUGGGAGCUUCAGAGCUCACCCAACUGCUUUCUGGAUGGCUGGGAGGUAUCGCAGCAUUCUCCCAACAGAACUUUCUGUUUCGCUGCAUCCUUCCUUUCCUAUCUAUGAAUUUUUUCUAGACUGAAUUUCCAGUGUUAACCCCGGAAAGAACUGGUGUUUGACUGCAUCAAACCAGAAGCCCUCCUUACAGCACAAGGACUAAAAUUCCCCUCGAUUUUUUUUAUGCUCUUGUCUGCUCUAUUGUUCUUCAUUCUGGACCGACCCUUCUGCUCGCUCCAUUCAGUGUGCUUGUUUUUCAGCAGCUGCCUGGAAAUAGUCACAAAGAACCCACAAAUAACCUCAGUGCAUCAAAGAACGCUUCUACGGGCAAUCUGAGAAAUAAAUUAGAACUAACAUAAUCAAGAGGUGGCAAUUAAUAAAACAUAAAAAUUAUCUUCCUGCAUGUGGGUUUUAUUAAUCUUUUAGAUAGUGAGAAACAUGGUAGCCUUUGCUCUAACCACUUGCCUGAUGGACUGGGUUAUUUUGUAUAUGUAGUCAGACUGCUAUCCUUGCUGUUGCACUGGAAUUCAUUUUGGUUGCCUGUCAAGGAAAAAAAAGCUACAAUUACUUUCCAACUGCUGCAAGCAUCCUGAUCUGUAUGCGGAAGAGAUGGUCCCAUAUAAGCAGGUCAGAAUAAUUACUACUGCCUGGAAGGGCUGUCAGAGCUGAGUCCCUGGCAAUACUUCUGCUUCAGAUCCUCUUGCAAACCCAAAGAAUGGGGAAAAAUAUCUUCCUGGGGCAGCAACAAUAUGGACUGCUGACCCUCCCACCCAGGACCCUUUGGGAUUUCCACAUGGUGGUG
ensembl:lncRNA